ensembl:lncRNA
UGUCUGAGACCAUGUCGUUCUUGUUUUGCUUAUACAAUUUGGCAUGAUUGCGGUGAUUUCUAUAAAAAGACAAUUGGCCACUGAAGGGUUCCCUCUUGGUGGAACUGGACUAGAGCUGAUCACUAACAAGGCUGAAUCUUUAUUAAGUUUGCAAGGACAACUUCAAGAAGUGAAGCAAAGAGAUGUGAGAAGCAAAGGACCAACAAGCUGCCUCUUCUUCCGGCAAAUUGCACCAACUAACAUGAGCAGUAGCUGCUUCAGGCCUCACUGGCCUCUCUCUUUGGCUUUGCAUAGAAAGGAACUUCAAAGGCAGAAAAUGGAGAAGAGAUGGUACCCUGCUCCAGCAGCUGGAGCUCUGCAGGUUUGGUGGUAGGUGUUGAUGGUUGCAUUACUUGAAUGGAAGUGCUACUGUGGCUUUCCUCAGCACACCAACUACCCAUCAGGAUAGGAUUCAG